rnacentral:rRNA from 1 species
GACGAACGCUGGCGGCGUGCUUAACACAUGCAAGUCGAACGGAAAGGCCCUGCUUUUGUGGGGUGCUCGAGUGGCGAACGGGUGAGUAACACGUGAGUAACCUGCCCUUGACUUUGGGAUAACUUCAGGAAACUGGGGCUAAUACCGGAUAGGAGCUCCUGCUGCAUGGUGGGGGUUGGAAAGUUUCGGCGGUUGGGGAUGGACUCGCGGCUUAUCAGCUUGUGGGUUGGGUAGUGGCUUACCAAGGCUUUGACGGGUAGCCGGCCUGAGAGGGUGACCGGCCACAUUGGGACUGUGAUACGGCCCAGAGUCCUACGGGAGGCAGGAGUGGGGAAUAUUGCACAAUGGGCGGAAGCCUGAUGCAGCAACGCCGCGUGCGGGAUGACGGCCUUCGGGUUGUAAACCGCUUUCGCCUGUGCCGAAGCGUGAGUGACGGUAAUGGGUAAAGAAGCACCGGCUAACUACGUG